AUUGAACGCUGGCGGCAUGCCUAAUACAUGCAAGUCGAACGAACAGACGAGUACCUUGCCCUGUUGACGUUAGCGGCAGACGUGUGAGUUACACGGGGAUAACCUACCUAGAGGACGAUAGUAACUCCGGGGCAGGGUUACUAAUGCCUAAGAACAUCGAAUACCACCGGGUUCCCUUCUGACCUCGCGCUUUACUGUCACUUAUUGGUUGAUCCGCUCCGUAUUAGCUAGUUGGUAAGGUAACGGCUUACCAAGGCAACGAUCAGUAGCCGACCUGAGAGGGUGAUCGGCCACACUGGAACUGAGACACGGUCCAGACUCCUACGGGAGGCAGCAGUAGGGAAUUUUGCGCAAUGGGCGAAAGCCUGACGGAGCAACGCCGCGUGAGUGAUGAAGGCCUUCGGAUCGUAAAACUCUGUUAUCAGGGAAGAAAAACUGGGUAAGUAACUAGGCACGUCUUGACGGUACCUAAUGAGAAAGCCACGGCUAACUACGUG
rnacentral:rRNA from 1 species